rnacentral:rRNA from 1 species
GACAGAGGAUGCAAGCGUUACCCGGAAUGAUUGGGCGUAAAGCGUCCGUAGGUGGCUUUUAAGUCCGCCGUCAAAUCCCAGGGCUCAACCCUGGACAGGCGGUGGAAACUACCAAGCUGGAGUACGGUAGGGGCAGAGGGAAUUUCCGGUGGAGCGGUGAAAUGCGUAGAGAUCGGAAAGAACACCAACGGCGAAAGCAACUCUGCUGGGCCGACACUGACACUGAGAGACGAAAGCUAGGGGAGCGAAUGGG